rnacentral:snRNA from 1 species
GGUCAAUUUGAAACAAUACAGAGAUGAUCAGCGGUUCCCCUGCAUAAGGAUGAACCGUUUUACAAAGAGAUUUAUUUCGUUUU